rnacentral:rRNA from 1 species
ACGGAAGGCAGCAGUGGGAAUAUUGCACAAUGGAGGAAACUCUGAUGCAGCGAUGCCGCGUGAGGGAAGAAGGUUUUCGGAUUGUAAACCUCUGUCUUCAGGGACGAUAAUGACGGUACCUGAGGAGGAAGCUCCGGCUAACUACGUGCCAGCAGCCGCGGUAAUACGUAGGGAGCGAGCGUUGUCCGGAAUUACUGGGUGUAAAGGGAGCGCAGGCGGGAUGGUAAGUUAGAUGUGAAAACUAUGGGCUUAACCCAUAGACUGCAUUUAAAACUGCUGUUCUUGAGUGAAGUAGAGGCAGGCGGAAUUCCUAGUGUAGCGGUGAAAUGCGUAGAUAUUAGGAGGAACACCAGUGGCGAAGGCGGCCUGCUGGGCUUUUACUGACGCUGAGGCUCGAAAGCGUGGGGAGCAAACAGGAUUAGAUACCCUGGUA